rnacentral:rRNA from 1 species
ACGUCACUCCUACGGGAGGCAGCAGUGGGGAAUAUUGGACAAUGGGCGCAAGCCUGAUCCAGCCAUGCCGCGUGAGUGAUGAAGGCCCUAGGGUUGUAAAGCUCUUUCACCGGUGAAGAUAAUGACGGUAACCGGAGAAGAAGCCCCGGCUAACUUCGUGCCAGCAGCCGCGGUAAUACGAAGGGGGCUAGCGUUGUUCGGAUUUACUGGGCGUAAAGCGCACGUAGGCGGACUAUUAAGUCAGGGGUGAAAUCCCGGGGCUCAACCCCGGAACUGCCUUUGAUACUGGUAGUCUUGAGUUCGAGAGAGGUGAGUUGAAUUCCGAGUGUAGAGGUGAAAUUCGUAGAUAUUCGGAGGAACACCAGUGGCGAAGGCGGCUCACUGGCUCGAUACUGACGCUGAGGUGCGAAAGCGUGGGGAGCAAACAGGAUUAGAAACCCUGGUAGUCCCA